CCAAUAGCGUAUAUUAAAGUUGUUGCAGUUAAAAAGCUCGUAGUUGAAUUUCGGGAUCAAUGGAUCGGUCAUGCCGUUGGUAUGUACUGGUUUUAUUGAUUCUCACCUUCUAAAGAACCAUGAUGGCAUUAAUUUGUUGUUGUGGGGAAUUAGGACUGUUACCUUGAAAAAAUUAGAGUGUUUAAAGCAGGCUUACGCUUGAAUACAUUAGCAUGGAAUAACGAAAUAGGACAUCGCAUUCUAUUUUGUUGGUUUCUAGGAUCGAUGUAAUGAUUAAUAGGGAUAGUUGGGGGCAUUAGU
rnacentral:rRNA from 1 species